GUUUCCGCCCCUUAGUGCUGCAGCUAACGCAUUAAGCACUCCGCCUGGGGAGUACGACCGCAAGGUUGAAACUCAAAGGAAUUGACGGGGGCCCGCACAAGCGGUGGAGCAUGUGGUUUAAUUCGAAGCAACGCGAAGAACCUUACCAGGUCUUGACAUCCUUUGACCACUCUGGAGACAGAGCUUUCCCUUCGGGGACAAAGUGACAGGUGGUGCAUGGUUGUCGUCAGCUCGUGUCGUGAGAUGUUGGGUUAAGUCCCGCAACGAGCGCAACCCUUGAUUUUAGUUGCCAGCAUUUAGUUGGGCACUCUAAAGUGACUGCCGGUGCAAGCCGGAGGAAGGUGGGGAUGACGUCAAAUCAUCAUGCCCCUUAUGACCUGGGCUACACACGUGCUACAAUGGAUAGUACAAAGGGUCGCGAAGCCGCGAGGUGGAGCUAAUCCCAUAAAACUAUUCUCAGUUCGGAUUGUAGGCUGCAACUCGCCUACAUGAAGCCGGAAUCGCUAGUAAUCGUGGAUCAGCAUGCCACGGUGAAUACGUUCCCGGGCCUUGUACACACCGCCCGUCACACCACGAGAGUUUGUAACACCCGAAGUCGGUAGGGUAACCUUUAUGGAGCCAGCCGCCGAAGGUGGGACAGAUAAUUGGGGUGAAGUCGUAACAAGGUAGCCGUAUCGGAAGGUGCGGCUGGAUCACCUCCUUUCUAAGG
rnacentral:rRNA from 1 species